GGGCGGGUAGCUCAGUUGGCAAGAGCGCAUGCCUUACAAGCAUGAUGUCGCAGGUUCAAGUCCUGCUCCGCCCACCA
rnacentral:tRNA from 1 species